UUCUACAGCCAGAGAGGUGAGAAGUCACACAUGGUUUAGAUGGUAAAUAUUUAUGUCCCCUUAGCGGUUCAACACAUAAGCAAAAGGGAAUAUGUUCUAUCAUCUAUGUUUAUUUAAAAUAGUGCAAAUUGUCCACUGAUAUUGGUGUAAUUUCUCACCCCUUUUGGCUGUAUGAAAGUUAAUUCUCUCAGUCACACACAUUUGUUAUUUGAUAUUAUGAAGGUAAUUUGUGUAAAAUGUACUUUUCCCCAUCUCUUUAUAUUGCUGAUGCAUAUUCGGUGGCCUGACUGCAUCCAGACAAUGUCAAAAGCCCAUCCUGGUAGAUCUGAACCGAAUGCAGCUUGGAGUGAUCGGAUGACAGACGUCACAUUUAGGGGCAGUCAAAAGCAGAGCUGUGGGAGACCACCUCAAUCCCCUGGUAGAGCCGGAGGUGGUAUUUACCACUCCACCACACCUGCAGCAGGCUUGAAACGUGGGAUUGAUACUGAUUUUCAUACUAAGAGGGACCAAGAGUCUGUUGAUUGGUCAGUCAUUGGGUUCAUUUGUUGAAAUCAAAUCCAGCUUUAUUUAUACAGCACAUUUCAGACAUGGAUGCAACACAAUGGCUUCACAGGAAAAAACAAGUAAAGUAAUGAAAAGAAACAAAUAUUUAGUACACAACAGAAGACUAACAACUGAAAGACCAAUGGGCACCCCAAGGAAAUGCCAUGGAUUAAAAUAUUAAUUGAAUGCAAUAUCUAACCCAAAAUACAAGCUUGUUGUUUUUUUAGGAGGGGCUCUGAAAGACUAUGGGAGUGUCCACUGAAACUUGACAACAACAACUGGGACCCGAAAAGACACCCACUAAAUCUGUCCAUGAAGAGGCAAACAAAAGAAAAACCCACAACAAACUUAAAGAC